CAUCUUUUUUUGAAUCUUCCUGAAUCCAAUAUUAUAAUACAAUACAAUAAUAAAUUGAUAUAAACUUUUCUUAUGUUUCGUAGUUCCAACAAUAUUUGAAUACUCAUUAGGCUCUGUGGAAUAAUCAAACAUACAAGUUGUCACCAUUUCUUUGUGUUCAAAGUAAAUAAAGCAACCAUAAUAUAAAAAACAACCAGUAAAGUCCUUUCAACAAAUCAAUCUAAUGUACCUUGACGGUCACUUACACAAUAUGGAGCCUGGAAGCUAUCCAAAGUCUAUCCUAAAACUGAAUAUAUCAAGUAUUUUCCAUUCGGAUACUCGUAACUCUUUAAUGAGGUGAAAUAGGGAUAAAGCUUGGAGUAUGUUUUGGUGGAUUCAGGAUCUUUUAGGUAAUUGUUAACAGUUUGUGAAAUAAUUUUAUUAUUGGAUUUUCCUUAUUUACAAGCAGCUGCUAAAUUGGUUUAAAAUUGCCAUCUUUUCAACACCAAAUAUUUAUUGUGCGAUUAAAUAAACUUUGAAUGAUUCCUGUUGAUAAAUAUUUUACAUUUUGCUCUAACGUCCAUACUAUUAUCAAUAUAAGUGCAUGUAUGAAUUGUUAAUUUUUAAUGCAGUUUGAAAUGCUUGACAGCAAGUGUUGGCAAGUUAAUUUUGUAUUACAAUCAGUCCAGCUUUUGGCUGUUGAUGUUCAAGCAUACUAUAGUAAAGUUGGGCAACUAAAAUCAAUUCACUGGUCAACUUGGCCAAUCCUAAUAACCUUGAUUUACAUGAUAUGAAAGCCUAAAAUUAGACCUUUGUGCUUAACCAACAGCAACAGACUCCAAUGGUUCAUUUUAAUUGUUUUCAAACAUAACCAAGGACAAAAGCCAAUGAUAUUGAUGAUAAUGUUAACAAAGUGAUGAUGAUAUAUGAUCCCAUAUAAUCACUAGCCUCAAGUCAUUAAUUAAAGGUUGACUGUAUUUA